rnacentral:sRNA from 1 species
UUGUAUAUGUACAUAAAUGAUUGGAUGU